GACGAACGCUGGCGGCGUGCUUAACACAUGCAAGUCGAACGAUGAAGCCGGAGCUUGCUCUGGUGAAUUAGUGGCGAACGGGUGAGUAACACGUGAGUAACCUGCCCUUGACUCUGGGAUAACUGCGGGAAACUGUAGCUAAUACCGGAUACGACCCUCGGAGGCAUCUCCUGGGGGUGGAAAGAAUUUCGGUCAAGGAUGGACUCGCGGCCUAGCAGCUAGUUGGUUAGGUAAAGGCUCACCAAGUCGACGACGGGUAGCCGGCCUGAGAGGGUGACCGGCCACACUGGGACUGAGACACGGCCCAGACUCCUACGGGAGGCAGCAGUGGGGAAUAUUGCACAAUGGGCGCAAGCCUGAUGCAGCAACGCCGCGUGAGGGAUGACGGCCUUCGGGUUGUAAACCUCUUUUAGCAGGGAAGAAGCGAAAGUGACGGUACCUGCAGAAAAAGCACCGGCUAACUACGUGCCAGCAGCCGCCGUAA
rnacentral:rRNA from 1 species